rnacentral:snoRNA from 1 species
UCCGCUGUCGCCAAUGAUGGAGCCUUUGUUGAAUUGACAACCCAUGAUUGAAUUCAACAUUUCGUCACUACCGCUGAGGUGACUAGCAAU